rnacentral:pre_miRNA from 1 species
CUGACCAGGUGGUUGUGAUGUGCUGAGAUCAAUGUUCAUAUCACAGCCUGCUUGGAUCAGUA